CGACCAUCAAGCCCCGCUUGGUAUUGGGUCACCCGCCGGCCACUGGGCCGGCGGCGACCUUCAUGACGUGGGCAGCGCGGCCCACCCCUCCACGCGACGACAUCGCGGUCGAACGGACGGGUCGGCGCUCGCCAAAUCAACCCCUUUUUUCUCAA
rnacentral:misc_RNA from 1 species